rnacentral:rRNA from 1 species
CCUACGGGGGGCAGCAGUGAGGAAUAUUGGUCAAUGGACGAGAGUCUGAACCAGCCAAGUAGCGUGAAGGAUGAAUGCCCUAUGGUUUGUAAACUUCUUUUAUCAAGGGAUAAAAUGAGGCACGUGUGACUUUUUGAAUGUCCUUUAUGAAUAAGGAUAGGCUAACUCCGUACCAGCAGCCGCGGUAAUACGGAGGAUACGAGGGUUAUCCGGAUUUAUUGGGUUUAAAGAGAGCGUAGAUGGGUAGUUGAGUCAGAUGUGAAAGUUUGCGGUUCAACCGUGAAAUUGCAAUUGAUACUGGCAAUCUUGAGUACAGUAGAGGUAGGCGGAAUUCGUGGUGUAGCGGUGAAAUGCUUAGAUAUGAGGAAGAACCCCGAUUGCGAAGGCAGCUUACUAAACUGUGACUGACAUUGAUGCUCGAAAGUGUGGGGAUCAAACAGGAUUAGAUACCCCAGUAGUC